AUGGACAAGGAUACCAGUUGAAUCCUGCCACCAAAUAGGGAAUGUGUCAAAGAUAGAAAACUCAUAGCCAAGUUGAUGCCCCAAAUUAGGAAACAUCCAUAUGGAAAAAAAGCAAAUAAUCAAUGAACUACAGAAAUGAUAAUACAGAUGUUUCAAUACAAGAGCUGAACUCCAUAAAAAACAUUUGAAAUUUAUAACAUUUUCAGGAAAAUCAUCCAAUUUACUCAACAGUAACCAAUUCUAUUCAGCAAGAUUCUCAUCUCUCUCAAUGCCACUGUGCUAGGACAUGUACACAUAGAUCACAUUUUGUGCGCACUAGGCAAACCAAAGAAAGGGAUUAUGCCUGUGUACAUACAUAUGCAUCAUUGAGACAAACAAAUAAGAUGAUUGUGAACAUAAAAAUUUUUAUAACAACUAUGAGACAAAUAAAUUGUUUCAAUUGCACUAUCUUAGAAAAAAACUAACAAGCAGUGAAACAAUCUGCAUUCUGAUAUUCAUCUAACGUGAAUAGUAAUUUAUCAUGCAUGCCUAUAGCUCUCCAUAGUUUUAGAAAAAUUCACCAAGGUCCUUCACUCAGGAGUUGAGUCAAGUGGAUUGGGAUUGGCAAGAUCUCAGGCUCACCCUUGUCUACCAGACAUAUAAAUUCAAGCCCAAAGUUAUUUUGAAAAUACUGAUGGAAUCUUGCUAGUCUGCUAUAUUGCCAUAAGUUUUAGUUAUCUCUCUCACUUUUUGGGUCCAAGAAUUUUCUUAGAUAAAUAUUCAAAGUUAUCUCUCUCACUUUUUGGGUCCAAGAAUUUUCUUAGAUAAAUAUUCAAAAAUACUUUGCAUAAAAUAGAAGAACCACAAAAAAAAAGGAGACAGAAAGGGGGAGAAAAGGAAAAAGAAAAUAGGGAAAGAAAGAAAAGAAUAUCUGAGAAUAUUGCAUGCUGAAAACAUAGAAUAACAAAAAGAGGAUGGUAAACAU
rnacentral:misc_RNA from 1 species